UGCCAGCCGCCGCGGUAAUACGGAGGGUGCAAGCGUUAUCCGGAAUUACUGGGUUUAAAGGGUGCGUAGGCGGCGUUGUAAGUCAGAGGUGAAAUCUUGCGGCUAAACCGUAAAACUGCCUUUGAAACUGCGAUGCUAGAGUGCGGUGGAGGUGAGCGGAAUGUGUCAUGUAGCGGUGAAAUGCAUAGAUAUGACAUAGAACACCAAUUGCGAAGGCAGCUCACUACACCAUUACUGACGCUGAGUCACGAAAGCGUGGGUAGCGAACAGGAUUAGAUA
rnacentral:rRNA from 1 species